AUGGGUAUGCCGGAAAAUGUACAGUUCUGGGAGAGGGUAAGGAGAACCAGCUUCUCACCACAGUCCAGCACCCCGGAAAGUUUGCAAGAGUCCAUCACAGCUGGAGCUUGUACUCUCAGCCUGAGGACUGCCAGCAUUACCAUGGAAACCCCCAAAAAUAAAGACUUUCCCAGCCUUGUGAGAGUACACCUGCAAGAGCAAGAAUUGCUUAUCAAAAGUGACUUCUUCAUUACAGGUGUCACCUGAGGACAUUUUGUGUGGUCAGUAUGACUUUUUCUCUCAAAAUAUACUGAAAUUAUAUUCUUAGCAUUGAUAUGGUUUGGUAUCUUGCCAUGGACCAGUAACAAAUGUCUGUUGCUAUCCAAUAGUGCUCUCUUUAAUAUACUACCUCAGUUUCAAGAGAAAAACCAGCUCUUGACAAACUUUGGAAGCCCUGAAAUAACAAGAUGAAAUAAGCACUCAUCUCAGUGAGACAAACACGUAAAAUGAAGAUCUAAUAAGCUGUUUUAAUAUAAAUCAUUCCACUGGCUUCAGAAGGACUUGGACCAGAGUUACAAACAGAAUUGCAAGAAUUCAUCUGCUGCUUCCUAGUAGAGAGGUGGAGCAUAUUUACUAGCGAGCAGUUGGCUACUAUCAAAAUGGAUCUGUUUAGACUUUCCAACAUUGCUAAUUUUAUUUUUUUUUUUGUUACAGAAUUUAACAGUUUGAUCUGAAAUUUUACAAUUGCAACUAGUUCUGUGCAGUUUUCAAAUUAACAACAAAAAAUUUUUAGUUAACUACAAUGGCUUAGCAUGUAUUUUUUCCAAGCAGAAGGCAGCUAUGGUAGUAGGACUGAAUUCAGAUAAUCUGGCAGUAUCUAUGACUAAUAUUUCAAGUCAAUGUUCUUGUAAUAACAAGCCCUCAAACCAACAAGAUAUUUUCAUUCUUUUGGUGCCUACUCCCUGUUCUUAACUAUAUAAAUUGUAUAUUCUGCUUGCCAAAUUGUUAAAAUUUCCAGUAUAUGAAGGCUUUUGAUUUGUGUACUUUUCUGCAAUGUAGUGGCAAUUUGACAAGUCUGCCACUGUAAUGAGCACCACUGGGAAAACAGAGAUUUUUUUGUUUGUUUUUCUGUAUUAAGGACUUUCCAUCAUUCCAAAACCAAUGAAAAACUGAACUUUAAAUAAUGCUAGAAAUACAUGUUUGUGAUAUUACCAAUAGCACAGGAAAAUCACCUACAUAUUUUUUGUUGUUAUUUAAGUGUACUGGAAAACCUAACUUAAAUGCAUUCAGGUGUCACCAAGAUUUGCUUUUCAGUGCUGUUUUAAUGAGCAAAGUCCUUGGCAGUCCUGUUUUUUAGCAUAGGCAAACCUCAGAAACACUAACUGUAGCAUCUCCAUGGUAUAUCUAAUACCAAAUGAUCCUGUUCAAAUCAAUAGACACCUUGGGAAAUUAGAUGCUCUUCCACGUGAACAGGAACAUCAGACCUCAGCUCUCUGGGAGUAUGGAAGUACUGAAGAACAAAUUCAGCCCUUAAACCAAGUGUUUGCAGUACAGAGCUGAGUCCAAAGAGGGAGAGAUUCAUUCAAGGAUAACAUGUAGCUGUACGUGAAAAAUUAGUGUCAUGACUGUUGCACCAUCUCCAACUAUAAUCUCACCAGAAUAUUAUAUUUUUGCAGGACUGGAGCUUCCUGUUGUACAAACGACAAAUCUUCCCGAAGAAGUUUGUAAGAACAAAGGUGUUUGUAAGAAGAAAUCUUUCCAAAAGUACAUAGGUACUAACAACAAGGUACAAGAGUAUUGAAGGAAUUUUUGCUCAAUUUACCCGUUUUAGGUACUGCACUAUCAAAGUUCUGGAUGUUUGCAGUCAAUAAGGUUUCUGUGUCACAAAAGAAAUGUUUCCCCAACAAACCCUGAUUCAAAUGCUGUACAUUUCCACUGCUUCAAUUUUUGCUCUAGGCUAAGUAGAUGAUUAUUUAGUGUUGC
rnacentral:lncRNA from 13 species